rnacentral:tRNA from 1 species
UCCCUAGUAGCUCUGUUGGUAAAGAAUCUGCCUGCAAUGCAGGAGACCCUGGUUUGAUUCCUGGGUUGGGAA